rnacentral:rRNA from 1 species
AUUGAACGCUGGCGGCAGGCCUAACACAUGCAAGUCGAACGGCAGCGGGGGAUAGCUUGCUAUCCUGCCGGCGAGUGGCGGACGGGUGAGUAAUGCAUGGGGAGCUGCCCAAUCGAGGGGGAUAACAACUGGAAACGGUUGCUAAUACCGCAUACGCCCUGCGGGGGAAAGGUGGGGACCUUCGGGCCUACCGCGAUUGGAUGCACCCAUGUGGGAUUAGCUGGUUGGUGAGGUAACGGCUCACCAAGGCGACGAUCUCUAGCUGGUCUGAGAGGAUGACCAGCCACACUGGAACUGAGACACGGUCCAGACUCCUACGGGGGGCAGCAGUGGGGAAUAUUACACAAUGGGGAAACCCUGAUGCAGCCAUGCCGCGUGUGUGAAGAAGGCCUUCGGGUUGUAAAGCACUUUCAGUGGGGAGGAAGGGGAGUAAGCUAAUAACUUGCUUCAUUGACGUUACCCACAGAAGAAGCACCGGCUAACUCCGUGCCAGCCGCCGCCGUAAUAC